rnacentral:rRNA from 1 species
AUACGGAGGGUGCGAGCGUUAAUCGGAAUUACUGGGCGUAAAGCGUACGUAGGCGGUUUGCUAAGUCAGAUGUGAAAGCCCCGGGCUUAACCUGGGAACUGCAUUUGAUACUGGCAGACUAGAGUAUGAUAGAGGGGGGUAGAAUUCCUGGUGUAGCGGUGAAAUGCGUAGAUAUCAGGAGGAAUACCAGUGGCGAAGGCGGCCCCCUGGAUCAAUACUGACGCUGAGGUACGAAAGCGUGGGGAGCGAACAGCAUUAGAAACCCCAGUAGUCC